rnacentral:rRNA from 1 species
GACGUAGGAGGCGAGCGUUAUCCGGAUUCACUGGGCGUAAAGAGCGUGUAGGCGGCCAGGUAGGUCUGCUGUGAAAACUCGAGGCUUAACCUCGAGCUGUCGGCGGAAACCAUCUGGCUAGAGUCCGGAAGAGGAGAAUGGAAUUCCUGGUGUAGCGGUGAAAUGCGCAGAUAUCAGGAAGAACACCCCGUGGCGAAAGGCGGUCUC